UACGUAGGCAGCAAACGUUGUUCGGAAUUACUGGGCGUAAAGAGUGUGUAGGCGGUUCUGUAAGUUUGGUGUGAAAUCUCCCGGCUUAACUGGGAGGGUGCGCCGAAAACUGCAAGGCUUGAGUGCUGGAGAGGAUAGCGGAAUUCCUGGUGUAGCGGUGAAAUGCGUAGAUAUCAGGAGGAACACCGAUGGCGAAGGCAGCUCUCUGGGCCUGUUCUGACGCUGAGGAGCGAAAGCUGGGGGAGCGAACAGG
rnacentral:rRNA from 1 species